AUUCAGCUGAAGAGUCCCAAAUAGGACGAAACAAGCAUUCUGGAU
rnacentral:hammerhead_ribozyme from 1 species